CAAUCCAAUAAGCGGAGGAAAAGAAACCAACAGGGAUUGCCUCAGUAACGGCGAGUGAAGCGGCAACAGCUCAAAUUUGAAAUCUGGCCCUUUCAGGGUCCGAGUUGUAAUUUGCAGAGGAUGCUUCGGGUUCGGCCGCGGCGUAAGUCCCCUGGAACGGGGCGUCAUAGAGGGUGAGAAUCCCGUCUUCCGUCGCCGGUUCCGAGCCCGUGUGAAGCUCCUUCGACGAGUCGAGUUGUUUGGGAAUGCAGCUCUAAAUGGGUGGUAAAUUUCAUCUAAAGCUAAAUACUGGCUGGAGACCGAUAGCGCACAAGUAGAGUGAUCGAAAGGUUAAAAGCACCUUGAAAAGGGAGUUAAAUAGCACGUGAAAUUGUUGAAAGGGAAGCGCUUGCAACCAGACUCGGCCACAGGGGCUCAACGGGUGCGUGUCACCCGUGCGCUCCCCUGUAGUCGGGCCAGCAUCAGUUUUGGCGGCCGGUCAAAGGCCCCUGGAAGGUGUCGCCUCUCGGGGCGUCUUAUAGCCAGGGGUGCAAUGCGGCCUGCCGGGACUGAGGAACGCGCUUCGGCACGGAUGCUGGCAUAAUGGUUGUAAGCGACCCGUCUUGAAACAC
rnacentral:rRNA from 2 species